UACGAAGGGGGCUAGCGUUGUUCGGAAUUACUGGGCGUAAAGCGCGUGUAGGCGGGUUCUUAAGUUAGGGGUGAAAUGCCAAGGCUCAACCUUGGAACUGCCUUUGGUACUGGGGAUCUUGAGUCCGGGAGAGGUGAGUGGAACUGCGAGUGUAGAGGUGAAAUUCGUAGAUAUUCGCAAGAACACCAGUGGCGAAGGCGGCUCACUGGCCCGGAACUGACGCUGAGACGCGAAAGCGUGGGGAGCAAACAGG
rnacentral:rRNA from 1 species